CUUAAAAGUGCUUAUCUAACGUGCUUUUCAAUCUCUUCCUCGGCCAAAUCCAAUUCGUAGCAGAGCAUGGUGAUUAAUGGAACAAGAAAAUGAAAAUGAAGUUAAGAGAAACAAAAGAUACGUGAAGAUGAUGCCGACGCACAUUAAUGAUGGAAUUCGGCAACUAUUCUUGUGUGUGUCUGUUGGUCUUUGGGCAGCUAUUCUUGUGUGUGUGAACAACAUCAAUAUCGCUGAUUCUAUUAAGAAGAAUCAUAUUCAGGUCUCCAACACCAAAAAACCACUCUUCUUCUACGUAAAUCUCGCCAAGAAUAUGAUUACUAUAACACCCCAUUUUCUUUCUCAUGUGAUCAAUGAGUUGAACGACUCUGUACCAACUUUGCCCCACCUCGUGGCCAAUGAGGUUUGAAGAGUGAUUGGUUAUUAGAGAGCAGUAGUUUUGCAGAGAGGAGUAAGCAGUACAAGUGGACAACAAGUAGAGGUCCCUCCCACUUUCACUUUUGAUUUGAAAAAAGAUGCAUUGGGAGAGUCCAAGUCCAAGAAGGCACAGAACAGUGUACAGACUGUUUCUGUUCUGCUAAGUCUUUGCAGUUACAGAUUCAUUAAAAAUGUUUUACUAUCAUUCAGAUUCUGAUUCUUCUUAAAUCUUUAUACUUUUUUGACAAUCUGUGUUCCUGCUCUGCAUUAAGGGUAGGGUACAUUGCAUUUUAGUCUAAUGCUAUUCACUUCUUUUUACAUUCACUUUAUUACACAUAUGGCUCCUAAUAUAUGUUACAAUUAGUCUAAUUUUUAAGUUCCUUAUUGCUUUUACUACUACUUAAUCAUCACAGAUAGGCACUAAAAUGUUGAUUAUCACAAGAAUUUCAGGGAACAGCAAUGGCUUCACUAAUUCAUAUGCAGAAAAUUCUAUCAAAUAGGAUGCAACAUUUUUCAAGCAUUGAAAAAGCUGAAUCAAUUGGAUGGUCUCUGCAACUUCUAUCAUUUGCAUGUUUAUCUUUAGCAACAAAUAUGGAGGAACCCCUUGUUCCUUCUCUCUUGGACCUUCAGGUUUCAACGUGGUUUGAACAGCAAGCCUAUGGCACUCAUCAAGAAGCUCCGCAAGGCGGACUCUGAUGAGCUAAUGAUAGAAGCUGAUAUCACGUGCACAAUACUAAAAAGCUGAUUUUGGUCUGAUUGUUUAUUCUCUUAGCCUUUGUUACACCAUAUGCAUAUUCGAAAGCUUCUUCGUAGGUUGAAAGCCGAAACUGAUCAAAUAUGUCAAGCUCCUGAGUAUUUCAGGGGUAUUUCAGUGUUAUUUGGCCUUCUUAAGGAAGUUCUUAAAAACAGACCUGACUUGAAGUUGGUUGUUAUGAGUGCUACACUUGAAGCUGAAAAGUUUCAGGGAUAUUUUUUUGGAGCUCCUCUAAUGAAAGUUCCUGGAAGGCUACAUCCAGUUGAAAUUUUUUAUACUCAAGAACCAUUUUUUUUUCAUUUUUUACACUCGUCAAAACUGCGAAAACAAUUGCUUCUCCAGGGCGUGGUAUUUUGGCCAUGGAUGAAUCCAAUACUACAUGUGGAAAGCGGUUGGAUUCAAUUGAACUAGAGAACACCGAAACUAACCGUCAAGCAUGGCGUAAAAUUAUAUAUGAAGAAAGUGUUAUGACUUAGUUAAAAUAUAAUUUUUAUGUGUAUGCUUUUAUAAUACUUGAAAUAUUAUGACUGUA